GGUCCAGCCUGCGGCCCAGGCCGAGCGCGGCGGCGGCGGCGGGCGGGGUCUUGGCGGCGCGCGGUUUGGGGGUUUUUUAUAACCCUGGCAGGCUGCUCAGGAAGUGCCGUCCCCGCGCCCCCUCCCCCGGCCACGCCGCCGCGCUUGCUCCCUCCCUUCCUGCGCGCGGGCCGGCGAGACGGCGGCGGGGACGGCAGGCGGAGGCCCCGGCUGGCGGCCGGCCGCGGGCUCCCAGAAGAAGCACUGAGACCCAGAGAGGCUCACACACAGGGGUUCAACACCACGCCACUAACUGAAGCCCCCAAAAGG